GAUGAAUGCUAGCGGCGUGCCUAAGAUAUGCAAGUCGAACGAAAUGUUUCACCGGUAGCUUGCUACCACCGAGACAUUUAGUGGCAAACGGCUGAGUAAUACGUAGGAAUCUACCCCUAACUCGGGGAUAACUUGGGGAAACCCUUGCUAAUACCCGAUAGUCUCACACCUAGUGUGAGUAAAGUUUUUCGGUUAGGGACGAGCCUGCGGCCUAUCAGGUUGUUGGUGGGGUAAUGGCCUACCAAGCUUACGACGGGUACCUGGUCUGAAAGGAUGUACGGGCAGAGGGGCACUGAGACACGGGCCCCACUCCUACGGGAGGCAGCAAUUAGGAAUCGUUGACAAUGGGCGAAAGCCUGAUCACGCGACGCCGCGUGAGGGAUGAAGGCCUUCGGGUCGUAAACUUCUGAGAAUAGCACCGGCUAACUACG
rnacentral:rRNA from 1 species